UGAAGACAUGGCGGCCGGAUGGUGAUGAAAGCGUUACAGAAAUUAAAGUUUUUAUGAAGAUUUUCGCGUCUUAAGGGUCUUCCACCCUCUGGCCAGCACCAUGUCUGACCCUGCUAGCCCAGAUGCUUCUUUGGAAGACCUCAGAAAAGAGCUGAUUCGUCUUCAAAAUGAGUUGGCCGAAACGACAAACGAGAAAUUGCAGGCUGCGGAAUAUGGUUUGGUUGUUCUGGAAGAAAAAGAACGAAUUCAGCAACAGUUGGAGGAAACAGAGGCUCAUUAUUAUAACGUGAAGGCAGAAUUGGAGUGUGCCAAAGAGGCUUUGAACAAACAUCAAAUCACCUACAAGAGAGUAAACCAAAGUGGGAUUCACAAUGAGGAGGCGUUUCUUCAGGAGACCAUAUCGAGAGAAGAAGGGUACCGGGCCUCUAUCAGUGACCUGGAAGCAGAACUCAAGGCCACCAAACAAGAACUGGACAGGCUGACGUCUGAAAAUGCUCACCACAGCCAGUACGUAAGUGAACUGGUUCAGAACCUGGACUCCUGUCAGGCUCAGCGCCAACAGUUGAAGCACGAGAUCAAGGAAUACAAGAUUCGCGAGAACAGGAACCUGACUGACUACGCUGAGCUGGAGGACGAGAAUAUCAGUCUACAGAAGCAGGUCUCGCAGCUGAAGCAGGCGCAGGUGGAGUUUGAGGCAAUGAAGCAUGAGGUGAAACGACUGCAGGAGGAAACAGAGGAUCUCAACAUGCAGUAUGAUGAGUCUCUGAAUCUUAGGAAAAUCACGGAAAAGACACUCGAGGAUACAAUAUAUGCCCUGCAGCAAGAGCGUGAACAAAAACAUGCCCUGAAGAAGGAGCUGGACCAGAGAUUAACACAGGAGUCUAUGUUCAACCUCAGCAACUUGGCUCAUUUCAGUGGUUUAAGUGAAGGAUUGAACAUCGGGAACAGUCACGAAUCUCAGGACAGUGGAGCGGAAGAAGAUGGUGAUGUUCAUGAUCAUCCAGCCCUCAAGAGGAUUGAAGCAGACUUCACAAAACAUGACAGUCAGACACCUCCAUCUAAAGUGAGACCUAGCAUGGUCAAUGACCUCCUCAGUGAGAUUCAGGUGACGGAGGUCCGGAAACUGGAACAGCUCCUGGAACAGAGUGAAUCAGAAAAGAGUGAAUUGCAGAAAGCUCUAGAUGAAGCACAGAAUCUCAUAGAAGAGACUCAGAAGGACUUGGUGGAACAGAAGUUACGUGCCGACCAGCUGAAGGCACACAUCAGUUCUAUAGCCAACAUCAAUGAUGCUGAACUUAAUCAGGAUGAAUCCAGUGCUGGACAGGAUGCUUUGCUGGAUGAACAGAUAGAAAAUGAAACUGAUCAAGACAAGAGAGCUUUGCUACAGCUCAGGAGGAAUCUGUCCACCAAUGAACAGAAAUACACGACUGCCCUGAAAGAGAUUACCAGUCUGCAGGCUGAGAUUGGCCGACUUCAAGGCAGGAGUCAUGGGGAUCCUGCGGUGGAAGAGGCCCUGCAAGACUUCAGCAUUAAGUGUCAGCAAUACGAGGAGGCCAUCAAGGACAUAGAAAAGGAUUUGAAGGUGAUGACCCAGAUUGCAGGAGAUGCCCAUGGCAGAAUGAACAGUACACAGGAUGAGUUGAUCAAGGUAACCGAGGAGCUGGCCCAACUCUAUCACCUUGUCUGUGAGUUCACCAAUGAGACGCCCAGUCGAGUCAUGCUUGAACAUGCUAAGGCACUCACAUCUAAAAGUUCUAGCAAGGAAAGCAGCGAGGAGCCAGAAGACAAGGUUUCAGGAGAUGGUGAGGAGAAUGUUAUUCAAAAUGGACAUGAAGAAGACAUUAAAUCUAUCAAAGACUCUGCCAAAUCAAAAGUUUCGGGUAAAAAGACCAAAAAAUCAAAGGAUAAGGGUGCUAUGGUGAAUGGUGACUCCAAGGGCGAUCCCACGUCUUGUGAUAAACUGUCUGAAACUAUUGGUGAUCAGGUGAAGUACCUCAAACGGGCCGUCGACCACCUGAUAGAGCUCUCCAAGCAGAAGCAGAACAAUGUAAGUGAGACUGUUGAUUCUCAGGAACUGCAGGAACAGGUUCUCAAACUGAAGGCCAUGCUUUCGACCAAACGGGAGCAGAUCGCUACCUUGCGAAGUGUUCUCAAAGCGAACAAAUCUACUGCUGAAGUGGCCCUCGCCAACCUCAAACAGAAGUAUGAGAAUGAGAAGGUUAUUGUAACAGAGACGAUGAUGAAAUUGAGGAACGAACUCAAAGCUCUGAAAGAAGAUGCUGCAACGUUUGCCUCACUGCGUGCAAUGUUUGCACAGCGCUGCGACGAGUACGUUACCCAGUUGGAUGAGCAGCAGCGUCAGUUGGCUGCAGCUGAGGAAGAGAAGAAAACACUGAACUCUCUCUUACGAAUGGCAAUUCAGCAGAAACUGGCUCUGACUCAACGACUGGAGGAUCUAGAGUUUGACCGGGAACGACGGAACAUGACGUCACGAAGACCUGGCCGUAGUAAAAUGACAUCCAAAGUAAGUCACCACACUCCCUCGGAAGAGUAUGGUCAAAACAGGAGAUAUUACCAAAACUUCAGGCGAGAUCGGGACUAUUAAAACAGUAGGGAUGGUUGUGGCUGCUUAACUGGGGUUUAAGUGCAAGGCGCCUGAUACCUACAGAGCUGAUGAACUGCAGUCCUGGCACCUGCAGUAGCCAGGUGAUGACAACAAGCCUGAUGGAAGACAAAAUGCUGGAGGACAAGCCAUGACCCCUGAUCUCUUACCUCCGACUCAAAGACAGGGCCACAGUUUCCAGCCCAGCAACAAACUGCCAUGUUGGCAUUUCUCUCAUUCCUUCUGUCUCCAACGUGAUUUUCAAAAAUAUAUUCUGACUAUCUCAUGUUUUUUAGUAUCCAUCAUGCCAAUAUGCAUGAUGGCAGUUUAAAAAAAAAAAAAUCCUCUUAAGGGAGACAACUCUGGACAGAUACUUAAAAACAACUUACUUUAAAAUAUGGAAUAUAGUUGAAAUUGUGUUAAUAUAAGUCUCAUCUGUGCAGUCGUACAGUGCAUAUCUACAUGUUAUACUGGGUUUCGUUGGAUGGAAAGUAUAUGUUAAGAAAUAGGUACACACUAGAUUUCUUAGAAUCAGUCUGAUAUUAACGUUUGAGAUUUGUCUGCAUGUUGUACAUACCCUUUAAUCAAAACUGUGAUAUUUAUAUAAGAUGGUGGUGGAUACAGUCGUAUUUAAUAAUAAUAAUAAUAAUAAUAAUAGUCUAAAAGAAAAUAACAAUGAUUGGUAAAUAAAUUGGGGUAUAUAUAUAUAUAGAUUUUAUGUAUGAAAUACAGGUGUCAUGAUUAUAAUAUGAAUUGACCAACAUUUUAAAUACAAUUGUUUUGUGGUUUAAAUGCAUUUAUUUAUUCAUAAAUGCUUUAAUCAAGGAAUACCGGUAUAGAUUAUUUAUUCAUGUAUAUUUACUAGUCAGAGAUUAACAAUUUGCUAUUCUGAUCGAGGGAAGCUUUGGUUCCGUAAAUUGCUGAACUUGAGUUUGAGUGUGAGUGUGAGAAAAUUUUAAUAUAAAACACCUGACUUGCACGUGUUUCGUAAUAGAACUGAACAGAAGAAGCCCUCAUGGCUUAUUUAUGCAAUUUGUUCCUGCCUAAUUGUUAAACCAUGUUGUGUUUGCUAGAGUGUGUGGUAGGAUAAUUGUUUAUAUGCAAUGUUUGUUACAUAUUUAUUAAUAGUAAUUAAAAAAAAAAAAAAAAUUGUACAUUCAUUUUUUAUUAUCUGUGACCACCUGUUCUGAUUGCUCUACCACAAACAACACAGUUACUGCAGAACAGAGAGAACGAAAUAUGAAUGUUACAAGUAUAUUGAAAUAGUUUCUACUUUUAACUGAAUUCCACAUUUUAUUAAUUACUGGUACUAAGCUUUUAUUUAUUGAAAUCAAAGUCUUUUUAUUACUGAUUAAUAAAUUAAAUGUUCGCAUAAUGUUGACUCAUAAAUCAUGCAUUUUAUUGGCUGCCAGUGUUCACAAUCAUCUCUGUGCCUAUAUGAAAUGGUUUAUUUGCGUCUGCUGUGAUUGUGUAUGUGUAGACAGCGGCAUACAUGUUUUUGUUUUAUUCAGUGCUGAAAAUGUCGGCUUGUAUGUGUUCUUACACAGAGACUGUUGCUGGUACCAAAUUCGUACCUGACUUUGUAUACAUACACACAAUGAAGUAACCACAAUUAAAUUUUGUGAAAAUAAA
rnacentral:misc_RNA from 1 species